rnacentral:rRNA from 1 species
UACAGAGGGGGCAAGCGUUUAUUCGGAAUUAUUGGGCGUAAAGGGCGCGUAGGCGGCUUGGCAAGUGGAUGGUGAAAUCCCUCGGCUUAACCGAGGAACUGCCGUCCAAAACUGCUUCGCUUGAGACCGGGAGAGGUGAGUGGAAUUCCCAGUGUAGCGGUGAAAUGCGUAGAUAUUGGGAGGAACACCAGUGGCGAAGGCGGCUCACUGGACCGGUACUGACGCUGAUGCGCGAAAGCGUGGGGGAGCAAACAGG